AUGGACCUGAAGGACUCCCUGUUGGUCCCUUACUGGUUUGUACUGGUUCAUACUGGUCCCUUACUGGCUUUUGCUGCUUUUUUACUGGCCUCUACUGGAUUUUACGAGCCAAUAUUGUUUUUUACUGGUUUCUUACUGGUUCCUACUGCUUUUUUACUGGCCUCUACUGGAUUUUACUGCUUUUUUACUGGCCUCUACCAUUUUUUACUGGUUCCUUACUGGUUCCUACUGCUUUUUUGCUGGCCUCUACUGGAUUUUACUGGUUUCCACCACUUCUUACUGGCUCCUCCUGGCCCCCCCCGGCCCGUACUCACGCAGGGGGGUGCAGAGCAGCAGCAGCCCCAGGGCGACGUUGCGCAGCACCACCAGGAGCUUCUGCUGCCGCCGGUUCCGCUUCUGCUCCCGCUCCAGCUCCUCGACCCUGGCCUUGGUGAAGGCCUCCACGGCGCUGUAGAUGCUCCUGGCCCCCAGCCCCGGUUCCUCCGCCGCCUUGGUGGCGAGCGCGGCCGCCAGCACCUGGUUCAGCCUCCUCAGGGCCUCCUCGGCCUCUGCCGCCGCCUCCUCGGCCUCCUCCCGUGCCUCCGGCAUCUUCUCCAGUGUCCCCAGCGCGUUGGCCAGUCCCACCAGUGCCUUCAGGCCCCGCGAGGUGGCCGCCGAGGCCUUGGCCAGCACCGGGGUCAGCUGAGUGGAGGCCAUCCUGGGGGGGACACAAAGGGUUAGCGGGGGGACAUCUUGGGGACACGGCUGUCCAGUUGGGGACACCUCCUUGGGGACAUAAGUGUCAAGAUAAGGACACCAGGUCCAGCUGGGGACACCUCCAUAGGGACACCUCCUUGGGGACAUCAGCGUCAAUGUAAGGACACCUUGGGGACACUCUGUCCAGCUGGGGACACCUCCUUGGGGACAUCAGCGUCAAGAUAAGGACACCAGGUCCAGCUGGGGACACCUCCAUGGGGACAGUGUCCAGAUAAGGACACCUUGGGGACACUCUGUCCAGCUGGGGACACCUCCUUGGGGACGGUGUCCAGAUAAGGACACCUUGGGGACACUAGGUCCAGCUGGGGACACCUCCGUGGGGACACCUCCGUGGGGACCUUGGGGUCCAUUUGGGGACACCUCCUUGGGGACCUCAGUGUCCAGAUAAGGACACCCUGGGGACACUAGGUCCAGUUGGGGACACCUCCGUGGGGACCUCAGUGUCCAGAUAAGGACACCUUGGGGACACAUCUGUCCAGUUGGGGACACCACCCUGGGGACCCCAGUGUCCAUGUGGGGACAUCUCCUUCAGGACCUCAGGGUCCCAGCGAAGACACCUCCUUGGGGACAGCUUCUUGGGAACCUCGGGGUCCAUUUGGGGACACCUCCUUGGGGACACCUUCUUGGGGACCCCAGCGUCCACACAGGGACACCUUGGGGACACUUCUGUCCUGUUGGGGACACCUCCUUCAGGACCUGAGUAUCCAUGUGAGGCCACCUCCUUGGGGCCACGUCCUUGGGUCCCCAUGUGCCCCAAAAGGGACAAUCCCAGAGAAGUGCCCCGAGUGUCCCCGAGGCCCCCAGCACCCCCGAAGGGCCACGUCCACGGGGGUGACACCGAAGUCCCCGUGGCCGCGUCCCCACCCAGACACUCGGUGACAAUGCCACCACCCCGCGGACUGCGGAGGGGACACCCCCAGGAGCAGGAACCCAGUGUCCCCGUGUGGGGUCACCCCCGGGGGGG
rnacentral:lncRNA from 1 species